rnacentral:tRNA from 2 species
GCCCGGUUAGCUCAGUUGGUAGAGCGCUCCACUUGUAAUGGAGAGGUCCCGGGUUCGAUACCCGGACCAGGCG